UUUUUAAACAAGACUACAAGAGUGUUACAAGAGCAACUCAUUUACCUCUAUUCUGCUAUCUAAAAAUUUGCAUUAUAAUUGGUUAACAAUCUCUACAUUUAUAUUCUGUUUGGGCUUCAUUGUUUUUACAUUCUAUAUCUUGAAUACACAUACAUCAGCAUGUUUCAUCAAAGAGUUAAAUAAAUACUUAGACUUUUUCAAGAACAUUUUGCAAACUAGAACCUUGUUGAUCAUAGAUCUAGAUCCAUUACUCUACUCUGGGCUACUCUUUUUUAAUGUAGCCAUGUCUGUGUCUGUAUCACCAAACUAGAAUUUAAUAUAUUCUGACUAGAUUUAUGCAUGCCAUAUGCUUAUCUGUAUGUAUAAACAAAAAAUAUAUUAUUUUAAAAUAUUUACACUGUCUUCUUUCUUUUAAAAUUUGAUUAUACUUGUGAUAAUGACAUAACAGUGCAUGCUAUAUCAAACAUGAUUAUAGACUUUCUAUAUGGAUAGACUUACAAUAUCAGGCUUUAAGCACCUAGCUGGAUAAAAGAAGUAACAGAAAUGGGCCUGUCUUUCUAAAAUGAGUUUAGAGAGAAAAGUAUUUUAUCAGCAACUAUAUACCAGCUAGACCAAACUUUUUUUGUCAUUAGACCAAAGAUGGCCCACAUUUAAUUAUUUAUAAGAAAUGCCCAAGAUGAAAGAUGUCUUAAGGACAAUUUAUUUUUCAAACCUGAAACCUAAAAACCAAAAUAUAAAUACUCGGAAUCAGAUGUUCCUUCAGAGCUGAAGAUAAUUACUUCCUAGUUCAAACCUCCCAAAGGACGACGGGGAUAGGAGUGGACAGGGUUUGAACCCGGGACCAUCGAUAAAUCUGAACGACAGUCCAGUGCGCAAACCGCACAACCAAGCAGCCAUCCGUCUUGGGGCGGUAUAUACUAUCCACCUGUUGUGAAAACAUUGGCUACUGUCAAGGCUUACAUUGAAUCUCUACCACUUUUAGAUGAGCCAGAAAUGUUUGGGCUCCAUGAGGAUGCGAACAUAACCUUUCAGUUGAAUGAAACCAAUGCUUUACUUGCUAAAAUACUUGAUGUUCAAUUGAGAAUCAUAGCAGCUGACGGUGGGAUGUCCAAAUGAUGAUAUUACUUAUGAACUUGCUGAGGCUGUCCUGGAUUGACAAACUGGAUAUUGAAAGAGUGUUAACAAUAUUGCCAGUGACAGAUCUUUGUGGAGCCAGCUUGCUGCCCAAUGUGCCGAACAGCGUGUGAGGACCUAAGUCUAAACUUUGCAAUUUAUAGAACAGAUGAUGUUAAAGGUCAUCUGUUUCUUUGGCCAACGGUUAACAAGCAGGAUAUCAUGAGGCAAGCACAAUGACCUACUUUCAAGUAGCUUUCAAGUAUAACAGUCUCUCUAGCGAGAUUGUAAGCCCAAGCCACAGAAAUACAUUCAGGCAUCAUUAGAAAAAACUGAAAAAAACAAUCAAAGGUUUUGUAGUGAUGAGUGAGGAAUUAGAGAAUGUAUACAGUGCAUUUUUAAAUAACCAUGACAUUCUAACUUUGUUGUAGCUACCUAUCUUAUUUCUAGCAACAUACAAGAUUACUGGAUAGCCAAAGGUGCAGCACUCUUAUGUCAAAUUUCUGAUAAAUUUUGAUUACAGAUAAAUUGUAAAGCAUUAAACAAUAAAAGCAAUGUCCAAUAAAA